rnacentral:rRNA from 1 species
UGGAUUGUCGCUGGCUAGGUUCAUUUCUAGCAUGUGCA